AUUUUUUAUUUUUCACCCUCUCUCUCUCUCUCUUCUCUUUGCUGAGUCCAGACGAACCUCGAAGCAUGGCAGAAUGCUCCAAGAACAAGGCGUACCCCUGCCAAUCGAAGAUGAAAUUUAAUUUGGAGAUCGGAGCGCGCCUGGGUCUUUGACAAAACAGAAUUUCUCAGCCUUUGAAGCUCGCAAUUGUCUUGAUUGCUUCUCUUUGUGGAGAAUUGGGUACCGCUGAAGGGAAAGCACCUAAUGGUCUGGUACAAAGCAAGGACAUCAGCUGCAGUCAAAGUUCCAGAGUUUCAAAAUGAAGAUUUGGUGAAGCCCCGUAGCUAGUCAAGGUGCAUUAUAAUCGUUGUCAUGCACAGUUUUAAUCACUUGGAAAAUUUUCUUGUGAAGACGUGAAGACUUGGAAAGGUGGCUUUUUCAUAUGCUUCUUUGUCCUCUUCCUUGUUGAACCUUCAUAAUUAAUAGCACCGCCAAGCUGCUUUUUUCUUUAGCUUUUCGAUGGAGGCAAGUUCAAGCCUUUAUCAUCUUUGUCAUGUGCACAUAUUAAUAUAAUUUCCAAGUGUGGUCUGCAAUACCAUGACUGCAAAGCAUAUGAGGCUGGAGCAAAUUUGGAGCCAAGCAUCUUUGACGCGUUGCUGGAAACUUGAGAGUAAGCAUCAUGCUAUUGGAACUUGAGAGAGAGCAAGAACGCCGCUGGGAUUUUAAGAGAACAAGGACUGCGUCGGUGGUAGGGCUAACAAGAGAACAGGGAUUUGAAAGGGCAAGGCCUGCAUCACUGGGAUUGAUUUAAGAGAGCAAAGCCUUCUGCCUAGAUUUGAGUUCAUCGGGACACUGCCCGGCAUGGUCAUCGGGACGCUGCCCGGCAUGGUUCAUCAUUGACACCUGAAGGUGUCGUUGUGGGAGGGCCUUGUCUGAACCUUUUGUCUUCCGAGCUGCUUUCUCCUUCUGCUUUUCCACGCUGCUGUGCUCCGUUGCGUCCUCCUCUUUUUGACCUCCAAGGCUCGUUUUAUAUGAGACCCAAGAGUUGUUGAGGUUGAACUGUUCUCACCUUUUUUAAUUGUACUUGGACUCGUCUUCUCAAAUUACAUCUGCCUUGAACUCUUUUUUUAUUACUUUGUUGUAGAGUUUUAGUAAAGGUAGAAGUAACUCGGCAGAUAAAUUGUAGAAUCCUAGAAGUACCAUGCCUUUUUCAUGUUUUGGUUUUGCCGAAAACACUCAUAUUGUUGAAGAGUCCUCAUUCAAGAUGAACUUGUGAUUUUUUUCAUUUCAACAGCAGCUAACGUCCGGCCCAUAAUUAUCC